rnacentral:rRNA from 1 species
AGCUUGAUCCCUGGCUCAGAUUGAACGCUGGCGGCAGGCCUAACACAUGCAAGUCGAGCGGUAGAGAGAAGCUUGCUUCUCUUGAGAGCGGCGGACGGGUGAGUAAUGCCUAGGAAUCUGCCUGGUAGUGGGGGAUAACGCUCGGAAACGGACGCUAAUACCGCAUACGUCCUACGGGAGAAAGCAGGGGACCUUCGGGCCUUGCGCUAUCAGAUGAGCCUAGGUCGGAUUAGCUAGUUGGUGAGGUAAUGGCUCACCAAGGCGACGAUCCGUAACUGGUCUGAGAGGAUGAUCAGUCACACUGGAACUGAGACACGGUCCAGACUCCUACGGGAGGCAGCAGUGGGGAAUAUUGGACAAUGGGCGAAAGCCUGAUCCAGCCAUGCCGCGUGUGUGAAGAAGGUCUUCGGAUUGUAAAGCACUUUAAGUUGGGAGGAAGGGCAGUAAAUUAAUACUUUGCUGUUUUGACGUUACCGACAGAAUAAGCACCGGC